GGAGCAGGCCAAACUGUUGUUGGGUUCCUUUGGCUACUCCUCUUCUUGCAGAGCAGGUGCCAGCACAGCCAGGAGAGGGAAGGAGAGCCUUGUGUCUGUGGCAUGCUCUGAGUCCUCUUGGAGACAACAGGGUACAGCCCUUGCCCCCUCCUCUACAUCCACAGCUAUAAGAAGAGAACCUGGAAUCACUUCCACGCUGGAGUCUGUAAGCAGUGAUGCGGAUGCGGCGAAGGCAGCAAAUCCUCCGGCUGUGCGUGCCCUCCCUGGACUGCUGCUCCAUCCCCGCCUGUCGUGCUCGCGCGUGUGCAUGGCUGGGAGCGCUGCCUAGGUGCGGCCGGGAAUGAGCCAGCUGUGGGGCAAGGACCGCUACAGCUCCAAGGGGUGACACAAGUGGGGGAUACCCCCCCACACAAACACAUCUGCAGGGCUGCAAGUUGCUUGAGGACCGGGGUCUUUUGUGCCUGCACUUCGUCUCUGUCAUGCCCCGUAUGGAAGCUGGGAGCAGUCACCCCUCCAGAAGCAGAAGGCGAAGUCGUUCGCAAUGAAUCCAUGGCAGCUUCGAUCGAGCGGUGAGCUGGAGCACCUACUCACAGGCCACUCCUUCAUGUGACUGAACAGAGACCUUUCCCAGCAGUCGCCAAGGAGAGCAGAGCCCUGGAUUUACCUCUCGCGCACCCGGGCACCCCCGGCGCAGGCACUGCGAGCAGCCAAUGAACCUCCAGGGCCAAAGGAUAAAUGCACCAUCGCUGGAGUAUUACAGCAUUUAGAAACCUCACUCACUGACUCACAGCUGUCUGACCCCUCCACCACAACCACUUUCAAUUUGUCUCGGCACCCAGCCACCUUCUCUACUGAGGUGUAGCUGGAUAAUCCUUGUGCUUUUACAGUGCCUGCCUGUGUGCAGCUCUGAGGCAGAACGGUGCUUCUGGAGGACAUCUAGCACAACUAACUCAUCAUGACAACCAGCAGCAACUUCAGGCUGCUUUCAGAGAGCUGUUUGUGGAAUCACCUCAGCCCUUUAGCACAAGAUGUACACUUGCAGCAAGGCCUGCCACUACAGAAGAGAGAGGCUUCUGCUUCCUGCGAGUCCUGUGUCCCUGGCAAAUGCUAGCCCAUGACUAACGUGUUCAACGCUGACAGGGACUGUCCUGUGUGUGAAACUGUAGUCUUGCCACAGAGCACCGGGCUGAACAGUGUAGUGGAGGCUGAGUGCACCUGUGAUUUAUGGGAAGAUUACAACCUUGCCUGCAUAGCCACGUGGAUGUCAGCAUGGCUUAUAUUAUCUGCGCCACGGUGGCAUGCUACAUUCUCACAACACACAGAGGGUGAGAAGGGGCAGACUUUUCAGAGGGAGCUGCCUCUGGGCAUUGCUAUUUUUUACUUCAUCCUUGGAGUUGGUGAGCCUGGUAGUGUUGCAGGGUGACAUGUGU